rnacentral:misc_RNA from 1 species
AAGUCGUAACAAGGUUUCCGUAGGUGAACCUGCGGAAGGAUCAUUAAAAUUUAGCGGCCGCAAGGCAGCAACCGCCCGCCGCGAGGUGGGGUCGGCAUCCUUUGUCUACGUGUACCUCUUGUUGUUUCCUCGGCAGGCUUGCCUGCCGCCAGGAAUCCCUUGAACCCUUGUAUUUGAAGUAUCAUAAAACUCCGAUAACCACUUAAUUAUCACAACUUUCAACAAUGGAUCUCUUGGUUCUG